rnacentral:rRNA from 1 species
AUUGAACGCUGGCGGAAUGCUUUACACAUGCAAGUCGAGCGGCAGCACGGGGUCAACCCUGGUGGCGAGCGGCGAACGGGUGAGUAAUACAUCGGAACAUGCCCAGUCGUGGGGGAUAACACUUCGAAAGAAGUGCUAAUACCGCAUACGUCCUGAGGGGGAAAGCGGGGGAUCGCAAGACCUCGCGCGAUUGGAGUGGCCGAUGUCAGAUUAGCUAGUUGGUGGGGUAAAGGCCUACCAAGGCAACGAUCUGUAGCUGGUCUGAGAGGAUGAUCAGCCACACUGGGACUGAGACACGGCCCAGACUCCUACGGGAGGCAGCAGUGGGGAAUUUUGGACAAUGGGGGCAACCCUGAUCCAGCCAUUCCGCGUGAGUGAAGAAGGCCUUCGGGUUGUAAAGCUCUUUCGGCAGGAACGAAACGGUGAGCUCUAACAUAGCUUGCUAAUGACGGUACCUGAAGAAGAAGCACCGGCUAACUACGUG